rnacentral:rRNA from 1 species
GAAUUUUGGACAAUGGGGGCAGCCCUGAUCCAGCCAUGCCGCGUGUGUGAAGAAGGCCUUCGGGUUGUAAAGCACUUUCGGACGGAACGAAAUCGCGCGCUCUAAUAAGUCGCGUGGAUGACGGUACCGUAAGAAGAAGCACCGGCUAACUACGUGCCAGCAGCCGCGGUAAUACGUAGGGUGCGAGCGUUAAUCGGAAUUACUGGGCGUAAAGUGUGCGCAGGUGGCUGAGCAAGUCGAGUGUGAAAUCCCCGGGCUUAACUUGGGAAUUGCGCUCGAAACUACUUGGCUCGAGUGUGGCAGAGGAAGGUGGAAUUCCAGGUGUAGCGGUGAAAUGCGUAGAGAUCUGGAGGAACACCGAUGGCGAAGGCAGCCUUCUGGGCCAACACUGACGCUCAUGCACGAAAGCGUGGGGAGCAAAC